rfam:Lactobacillus ozensis DSM 23829 = JCM 17196 strain DSM 23829 NODE_123, whole genome shotgun sequence.
AAAAUGGCUCUUAUAAGAGCCAUUUUUAUUAUUCUUUACGUGGUAG